GUCCUUGUAGCGCAAUGGAUAGUGCGUAAGACUUCUAAUCUAAAAGUCGUGGGCUCGAAUCCCACCUAGGAUG
rnacentral:tRNA from 1 species